UACGUAGGGUGCGAGCGUUAAUCGGAAUUACUGGGCGUAAAGCGUGCGCAGGCGGUUUUGUAAGCCAGAUGUGAAAUCCCCGGGCUCAACCUGGGAAUGGCAUUUGGGACUGCAAGGCUGGAGUACGGCAGAGGAGACUGGAAUUCCUGGUGUAGCAGUGAAAUGCGUAGAUAUCAGGAGGAAUACCGAUGGCGAAGGCGACUACCUGGCCUGUUCUUGACGCUGAGGCGCGAAAGCUAGGGGAGCAAACGGG
rnacentral:rRNA from 1 species